CAGUCGCCGCGGUAAUACGAAGGGGGCUAGCGUUAAUCGGAAUUACUGGGCGUAAAGCGCACGUAGGCGGCUUGGUAAGUUAGAGGUGAAAGCCUGGAGCUCAACUCCAGAAUUGCCUUUAAGACUGCCGAGCUAGCAGGUGAGAGAGGUAAGUGGAAUUCCGAGUGUAGAGGUGAAAUUCGUAGAUAUUCGGAAGAACACCAGUGGCGAAGGCGGCUUACUGGCUCAUACUGGACGCUGAGGUGCGAAAGCGUGGGGAGCAAACAGGAUUAGAUACCCCCGUAGUCCCUGUCUCUUAUAC
rnacentral:rRNA from 1 species